CUAGCCUAAACAAUAGGAUGUUUGGUUUAGGGUGUGGUUACUUGAUGUUUUGGGUAUUAAGGAAGUAAUUACUACAUUUGUUUGUGCCUUCUAUCAAGGUAAGGAAGUCUUUUGUCUUCUCCUUUUGAAUGGGGUAUAUAAGAACUUUUGAGUGACAAACUUGGGAUGGAUCACAGUAUUCACUGGAUGCCUUCCAACUCCAUCUUCUGUUUCUUGUCUAUUUCUUUCCUCAAUUCUCACUCCUCCUUUCAAGCACAGAUGGACAGACAAGUAUGCUGGACCAAACAAUGUUCUUCCUUUGUUAUGGUUGUUGGUGGUUGACUCAUGAAAAUUUGAGGUGCAUAGCCUAUGGUUAUAACUAACUUGUGUGACAACUUCAUUCUGUCAUAAAGUUCCUUGAGAAUAGAAAUCCUCUUUCUUUGUUCAGAGAAGAACACUCAGAACUUCUGAUAUUCCAAUGAUUCACAGGUCUUUUUGCAUUGUAUUUAUGUGUCAAACACAUGUCCUGAGCUCACAGGAUAUAGGGACAGAAAUGCAAUAUUGGCUUCAUCACCAGUCCAAAUUUGGGCAUUGCCAACACGUGUGACUGUCUGGAGAUAGGAGAGUGAGAAGCUGGUGGGAUUAUUAGGGUGACCUGUCCAGUGAGCAGAUGACCUCAGCAGAGCAUCACAAGUACUACCAUGUGUCCUGCAACAACUCCUACAGUUCUUCACAGAUGGAGAUGGCAGGGCAUGAGGAUGGCCAUGAGGAUGUCCAGUGUCCAAAGGAGUCAGUUUGUAAACACGAUCAAAUGUCCUCAAAGCACAGGCCUGGCACAAGCGGCGAUCCCAGAGCCCAGGUUUCUGUCCUCACCCUCUUCUGAUUGGCUACAGCUUCGAAUCAAAUGGAAGAUGAACGUGAGAACUUACAUAUCACUCUUGCUGAUCUCCACCAUUGUUAAGAUGACACCAUGAAAAAAAGAAAAAGAAAAUCAACAACCCUUCUCCAAGAAGGAGCUCUUAAUUACCUGCCCCAAUCUCAGGGAGGUAAAUAUGUUCACUGCUUUUUAAUUAUAUUGGCCUUAUUGUUUCAUAAGAAAAUAAAAAACAGACUCAACAGGAGAUGGUAAAGAGU
rnacentral:lncRNA from 1 species